rnacentral:rRNA from 1 species
ACGGAAGGCAGCAGUGGGGAAUAUUGCACAAUGGGGGAAACCCUGAUGCAGCAACGCCGCGUGAGUGAAGAAGUAUUUCGGUAUGUAAAGCUCUAUCAGCAGGAAAGAAAAUGACGGUACCUGACUAAGAAGCCCCGGCUAACUACGUGCCAGCAGCCGCGGUAAUACGUAGGGGGCAAGCGUUAUCCGGAUUUACUGGGUGUAAAGGGAGCGUAGACGGUUUUGCAAGUCAGAAGUGAAAGCCCGGGGCCCAACCCCGGAACUGCUUUUGAAACUGUAGAACUGGAGUGCAGGAGAGGUAAGUGGAAUUCCUAGUGUAGCGGUGAAAUGCGUAGAUAUUAGGAGGAACACCAGUGGCGAAGGCGGCUUACUGGACUGUAACUGACGUUGAGGCUCGAAGGCGUGGGGAGCAAACAGGAUUAGAUACCCUGGUA